rnacentral:lncRNA from 1 species
UGAUUUACUUUUGAUAGCUGUUGUCAAGUUGUCCUUCGUUACAUACAUGUGGUGCAAAGACUGUUCUCAGUUGUUUUUAUAAUGAUGCAUUUUGCUUUGCAGAAAUGUUUGAUUUUUAUAUAGUUGAAUAUAUAAAUCCUUAAGAAAGUGAACUCAGUUAUGUAACAUGUUUGGAAAGACCUUUCUCAUAUGAAAAACUCUCUUUCUUCUAGCUUUGUUGGUUUUUUUCUGGUUUUGUUUUGUGAACCAUCUGGAAUUAAUUUUGGUGUAAGUAGCAAUAUAAAUCUCCCUGCACCAUUCCCACCACCCCCACGGCUACCCGCUUUUCCCAGCUCUAUUUACUAAAUAAUAAAUAUUUUAUGGUGUUG